GCUGAAUGUGGGGAUAAUUUAUCUCCGUGUUGUAGCUAACGCGUUAAGCACUCCGCCUGGGGACUACGGUCGCAAGACUAAAACUCAAAGGAAUUGACGGGGACCCGCACAAGCGGUGGAGCAUGUGGUUUAAUUCGAUGCAACGCGAAAAACCCUACCACUCCUUGACAUGGAGAUUAGAUCCUUCUUAACAGAAGGGCGCAGUUCGGCUGGAUCUCGCACAGGUGCUGCAUGGCUGUCGUCAGCUCGUGUCGUGAGAUGUUGGGUUAAGUCCCGCAACGAGCGUAACCCUCAUCCUUAGUUGCCAGCGGGUAAGCCGGGCACUUUAAGGAAACUGCCGGUGGUAAACCGGAGGAAGGUGGGGAUGAUGUCAAGUCAGCACGGCCCUUAUGGGGUGGGCUACACACGUGCUACAAUGGUGACUACAAUAGGUUGCAAUGUCGCAAGGCUGAGCUAAUCCGUAAAAGUCAUCUCAGUUCGGAUUGUCCUCUGCAACUCGAGGGCAUGAAGUCGGAAUCGCUAGUAAUCGUGGAUCAGCAUGCCACGGUGAAUACGCUCUCGGGUCUUGUACACACUGCCCGUCACGCCAUGGGAAUUGGCUUAACUCGAAGCUGGUGCGCUAACCGAAAGGAAGCAGCCAU
rnacentral:rRNA from 1 species